UGCAAUCUGAUAAAAAUUGUAAAAGUUAUUUUAGAAAUAAAUAUCGAAAUAAAGAAUUAAUUAAUAUUACACGAUCAAAAUUAAAAUGUAUGCAUUUUUCGAAAUAUUAAUGCACACACUUUAAGAAUUAUACAAGUUUAUCUGAAGAAAAUCAAUAUCUGACAACAAAAUAUCUCAUUUAGAUCACAAAUUUUCGGCCUCCUUUGCGGUGUCUCUUGAUGACCUUCUUUCCAGGGUGUCUCACGACCUUCCAAUGGUGCUUCCUUCUGGUCUUCUUAGCUUUACUGCUAGAGGUUGUUGAAGUGGUGUCAGAUGAGGAGGCAGUGGUUGUUGAAGUGGUGUCAGAUGAGGAGGCAGUGGUUGUUGUGGUAGCUUCGGUCGUGGUGGUGGUGGUGCUAGCCUCGGUAGUGGUUGUAGUUGUAGUUGUAGUUGAAGUAGAGUCAGCUCUUGGUAAAUAGGAAAGACAAAUGGCCACUAAGGCACAUCCCAAUAAAAUUGUAGUAGCUCU